rnacentral:rRNA from 1 species
GACGAACGCUGGCGGCGCGCCUAACACAUGCAAGUCGAGCGAUGAAAUUUUAACCGAUCUCUUCGGAGAGAAGAUAAAAUGGAUUAGCGGCGGACGGGUGAGUAACACGUGAGAAACCUGCCUUUCACAAGGGGAUAGCCUCGGGAAACCGGGAUUAAUACCCUAUGGCACAUUUCCUUCGCAUGGAAGAAAUGUUAAAACUCCGGUGGUGAAAGAUGGUCUCGCGCCUGAUUAGCUAGUUGGUGGGGUAACGGCCCACCAAGGCCAUGAUCAGUAACCGGCCUGAGAGGGUGAACGGUCACAUUGGAACUGAGACACGGUCCAAACUCCUACGGGAGGCAGCAGUGGGGAAUAUUGCACAAUGGAGGAAACUCUGAUGCAGCGACGCCGCGUGAGCGAUGAAGGCUUUCGAGUCGUAAAGCUCUGUCCUAUGGGAAGAUAAUGACGGUACCAUAGGAGGAAGCCCCGGCUAACUACGUG